AACGCUGGCGGCAUGCCUAACACAUGCAAGUCGAACGGCAGCACAGCAGAGCUUGCUCUGUGGGUGGCGAGUGGCGGACGGGUGAGUAAUGCAUCGGGAUCUACCUCAACGUGGGGGAUAACGUAGGGAAACUUACGCUAAUACCGCAUACGUCCUAAGGGAGAAAGCGGGGGACCGUAAGGCCUCGCGCGGUGAGACGAACCGAUGUUCGAUUAGCUAGUUGGUAGGGUAAUGGCCUACCAAGGCGACGAUCGAUAGCUGGUCUGAGAGGAUGAUCAGCCACACUGGAACUGAGACACGGUCCAGACUCCUACGGGAGGCAGCAGUGGGGAAUAUUGGACAAUGGGCGCAAGCCUGAUCCAGCAAUGCCGCGUGUGUGAAGAAGGCCUUCGGGUUGUAAAGCACUUUUAUCAGGAACGAAAUACCACGGGUUAAUAACCUAUGGGGCUGACG
rnacentral:rRNA from 1 species